GUUCAUAUGUGUAUGUUUGUAUCCCUGUCUCAAUCAACAGACACAGGUUCAUAUGUGUAUGUUUGUAUCCCUGUCUCAAUCAACAGACACAGGUUCAUAUGUGUAUGUUUGUAUCCCUGUCUCAAUCAACAGACACAGGUUCAUAUGUGUAUGUUUGUAUCCCUGUCUCAAUCAACAGACACAGGUUCAUAUGUGUAUGUUUGUAUCCCUGUCUCAAUCAACAGACACAGGUUCAUAUGUGUAUGUUUGUAUCCCUGUCUCAAUCAACAGACACAGGUUCAUAUGUGUAUGUUUGUAUCCCUGUCUCAAUCAACAGACACAGGUUUCUGUUCUCCAAAAGCUCUAGCAGAAACACAGAGCAGAGGGCUGGAAAAAGACUCGUCAUUGUUAAUAUUGGAUGGGUUAUCCUUGGUACGGUUGUUUCCAUUGGCUGAAUAUACUGUGUCAUUGUUGGGAUUGGUUUAUCCAGCUGGACAAUAGUUGUUGCUAUUGGAUGAGCUCAUCUGAUCAACUUCCUGC